UUAAAUAAAUAAAUACAUCAUUAAAUAAUUAAUUAAAUAUGUCAUUAAUUAAUUAAAAUUGGAAUUAAAUAUUUCAUUAAUUAAUUAAAAUUGGAAUUAAAUAUGUCAUUAAUUAAUUAAAAUUGGAAUUAAAUACUUAAAUGUGUUAUUAAAUAAAUAUAUCAUUAAAUAAUUAAAUAUGUCAUUAAUUAAUUAAAAUUGGCAUUAAAUAUGUCAUUAAUUAAUUAAAAUUGGCAUUAAAUAUGUCAUUAAUUAAUUAAAAUUGGAAUUAAAUACAUAAAUGUGUUAUUAAAUAUGUCAUUAAUUUAUUAAAAUAACAAUUAUUUUAAGUAAAAAACAUAUUUCAUUAUUUCACUAUUUAAUUAAUUAUUUCAUGGUCCUUGCGUUGCAGUGGAUCAUGAAUUUAUUUUAUCUGUCAACCUCGCCCGUCAAAGUCGGUGGGCGGAUCCUAACACCUGAUUGGUUACCCUGCACAUCAAGUCAAGGCAAAUCGAUUCCAGAUAAUGGAUUGACGCAGAGCUUGUGAACACAUUCCGAUACACUGGGUGGCGCUAUUCACCUCUACGUUGGUUUGGAUACUCAAUAAAACAAAACUUUAUUAGCAACCGCUAAAGACUCGGUCCUCUUUCCCAAAUGUUGAUACAUGCGGUGCAAGACAAAUUUUCCUUUAGCAUUUCCUUUAGCAUCUACUCGGCGCGCCACGGCUCGUCUCGGUUUAGUUGUUUUUCCAUUACAUUGAGUACCACCUCAUCGUGGGUUGAGUCGUCAUAGCACGGUGGCCCGAAAGUCCCUUACCGUCAUUUUUGUGCGACACAAACGCAAUGCAACAAUGUACAUGGAGGCGAUAGUACACCUGCUGCUCGGUCUGUGGCUUUCUGUCAGAUUCAGAGUAACAGAAGAGUCGGAGAAAGCUGAGAGCGGCGAGUCGAAACACUCAGGAGACACACAGGAGAGUUUGGGAGGCGAUACAGCAGUAUCAAGCUGAAGACAAGAGGAUAUGAACGAGACGACAUAUAAGGAUGCUCUCUGAUGAGACUUCAUGGGAUUUACCUGAAGCAGCAGCACAUGAGCCUGCAGUGGCACAAGGUGUAGAGGAGGAGGGCAGAGAUGUACAGGAUGCACUGAUGCACUACGUGUCAUGCAAAAGUUAAAAGUUGUUCUUCUUGUUAUACUUCUGUUUUUCUGUCCCCGGACCGCUAUUGUUUUCUUUAAUGCAAUUCUGACAAUAAACUUUUGUAGAUGUG